rnacentral:rRNA from 1 species
CCUACGGGAGGCAGCAGUGAGGAAUAUUGGUCAAUGGCCGAGAGUCUGAACCAGCCAAGUAGCGUGAAGGAUGACUGCCCUACGGGUUGUAAACCUCUUUUAUAUGGGAAUAAAAUGUUCCACGUGUGGGAUUUUGUAUGUACCAUAUGAAUAAGGAUCGGCUAACUCCGUGCCAGCAGCCGCGGUAAUACGGAGGAUACGAGCGUUAUCCGGAUUUAUUGGGUUUAAAGGGAGGGUAGGCGGGUGGUUUAGUCAGGGUUGAAAGUUUGGGGCUCAAACGUAGAAUUGCAGUUGAAACUGGCAGUCUUGAGUACACGAGAGGUGGGCGGAAUUCGUGGUGUAGCGGUGAAAUGCUUAGAUAUCACGAAGAACUCCGAUUGCGAAGGCAGUACACUGGACUGCAACUGACACUGAGGCUCGAAAGUGUGGGUAUCAAACAGGAUUAGAUACCCUUGUAGUC